AUGAACGCUGGCGGCGUGCCUAAUACAUGCAAGUCGAACGCUUCACUUCGGUGAAGAGUGGCGAACGGGUGAGUAAUACAUAAGUAACCUGGCAUCUACAGGGGGAUAACUGAUGGAAACGUCAGCUAAGACCGCAUAGGUGUAGAGAUCGCAUGAACUCUAUAUGAAAAGUGCUACGGGACUGGUAGAUGAUGGACUUAUGGCGCAUUAGCUUGUUGGUAGGGUAACGGCCUACCAAGGCGACGAUGCGUAGCCGACCUGAGAGGGUGACCGGCCACACUGGGACUGAGACACGGCCCAGACUCCUACGGGAGGCAGCAGUAGGGAAUUUUCGGCAAUGGGGGAAACCCUGACCGAGCAACGCCGCGUGAAGGAAGAAGUAAUUCGUUAUGUAAACUUCUGUCAUAGAGGAAGAACGGUGGAUAUAGGGAAUGAUAUCCAAGUGACGGUACUCUAUAAGAAAGCCACGGCUAACUACGUGCCAGCAGCCGCGGUAAUACGUAGGUGGCGAGCGUUAUCCGGAAUUAUUGGGCGUAAAGAGGGAGCAGGCGGCACUAAGGGUCUGUGGUGAAAGAUCGAAGCUUAACUUCGGUAAGCCAUGGAAACCGUAGAGCUAGAGUGUGUGAGAGGAUCGUGGAAUUCCAUGUGUAGCGGUGAAAUGCGUAGAUAUAUGGAGGAACACCAGUGGCGAAGGCGACGAUCUGGCGCAUAACUGACGCUCAGUCCCGAAAGCGUGGGGAGCAAAUAGGAUUAGAUACCCUAGUAGUCCACGCCGUAAACGAUGAGUACUAAGUGUUGGGUGUCAAAGCUCAGUGCUGCAGUUAACGCAAUAAGUACGCCGCCUGAGUAGUACGUUCGCAAGAAUGAAACUCAAAGGAAUUGACGGGGGCCCGCACAAGCGGUGGAGCAUGUGGUUUAAUUCGAAGCAACGCGAAGAACCUUACCAGGUCUUGACAUCGAUCUAAAGGCUCCAGAGAUGGAGAGAUAGCUAUAGAGAAGACAGGUGGUGCAUGGUUGUCGUCAGCUCGUGUCGUGAGAUGUUGGGUUAAGUCCCGCAACGAGCGCAACCCUUAUGGUCAGUUACUACGUAAGAGGACUCUGGCCAGACUGCCGUUGACAAAACGGAGGAAGGUGGGGAUGACGUCAAAUCAUCAUGCCCCUUAUGAGCAGGGCUACACACGUGCUACAAUGGACAGAGCAGAGGGAAGCGAAGCCGCGAGGUGGAGCGAAACCCAUAAAACUGUUCUCAGUUCGGACUGCAGUCUGCAACUCGACUGCACGAAGAUGGAAUCGCUAGUAAUCGCGAAUCAGCAUGUCGCGGUGAAUACGUUCUCGGGCCUUGUACACACCGCCCGUCACACCAUGAGAGUCGGUAACACCCGAAGCCGGUGGCCUAACCGCAAGGAAGGAGCUGUCUAAGGUGGGACUGAUGAUUGGGGUG
rnacentral:rRNA from 1 species